AAAGCAAAGCAAGAGCGAAGCAAGACGUAAAAAAUGAAAAAUUUAUAGAAGCAAAAAAUAAAAAAAAUACCCUAGGCUAGUCCCAGCCAGAAAAAGGAGCGACCACACGCAGGCCAGCCACGGGCCGGAGUAAUUAGCUAGUAGUAUUAUUAUCACCAGUAAUUAUGGUGCCAUCUAAUGGGUU
rnacentral:sRNA from 14 species